rnacentral:lncRNA from 1 species
CCUCUCUCUCUCUCUCUCUCUCUCUCUCUCUCUCUCUCACACACACACACACACACACAUUUAAAACCCAUCAGCCAACCAUGGCUUCCCACUUUUCUCUCUCCGCCGUUUCUCUCAUCACCCUCCUCUUCCUUGCUGCAACCGCCUCGUCGGACGCCGCCUAUUCCAUCACCAUCUGUCACAUCCCGACCCUUAAAUUUUUACCUUAUUUACUAGCUUGGUUAUAAUAAGAGUUUUACCGUCUCCGUCAUUGAGGUAAUAGUUUAAUCGGUCCCUAGAGGUGUUUUGAGGGACGAUUAAUUUCGGGGAAUUAUUCGUGGGAGAAAAUAUGACGACGGUAAAAAUGGUAAAUUUUAGCUAGUAAAAGGUAAUUUUUAUUAGGGUAUUAUUUUAGGGUGUAAUUAUUUUUAGUGGAGUUGGGUAUAUUAGGCUUGGACUGGUUUGGGUGGAGGCCCAAAACCCACUCUUCUCUUCUCUCUUUUUCUUCCCGGUUUUCCUCUCCCCGAGUCCUCCACUGCCCAACUUUCCGGCCGCUCGUCCGCCGCCGUCCAGCCGUUUGGGACUGCCGCACCGGUCACGUUCGGUCGGCCUCCGACCCAGCUACAUCCCUAGACCGGUAACAGCUCCUCUAGCGCCGCCGUGAGUGAGGAUCGACGCCCGGAGCCGCUAGCUGCCGUGGUGGUCCUCUCGCCGGAGCUCCCUCCUCCGGCCACCAAAACCGGCGAUCCUUAGCUCAUUUUGUAGCCCUCCUCCCGUGCAGCAACCCCUCCAAACAGCUCACCCUCUCUUGAGCUAGGUAAGGAGAAAUGUGAAGUUGAAAUUAGGGGUGGCAAUUUGGACCCUGGCGAUACCAACCAACCAUGUACCAACCGUACCAAACAGAUUGGUAUGCCAAGUAGUUGGUAACCGAGUUUUCGGUACAGUACUACCGUACCAAGUUUUAGAAGUCGGUUGGUACAUGGUACAGAUUUUCCCAAAAUACAGUAUACCAUGUACCAACCGAGUUAUAUUAAAAAAAAUAAAAAUAAUUAAACCUAUUAAUCUAAGCCGUUGAUCUUUGUGGACUGUGGAUCUAUUCUCAGUAACUCACCUCUCACGCUCGCCUCUCUCGCCUCAUCUCUCUGCUUCGCAGCACCACGCGGCUCCGCCACCUAGACUUCGCAACACCUCCUCGGCUCCGCCACCUCGCCUCUCUUGUCGUCAACGCAGCAGCACCUCGGCCACAUCGACUCGGUAGCGCUAAGGGCAGCGCCUCGACUCUCCGACGAAGGG